UACGUAGGGACCAAGCGUUGUUCGGAUUUACUGGGCGUAAAGGGCGCGUAGGCGGCAAUUCAAGUCAGUUGUGAAAUCUCCGAGCUUAACUCGGAACGGUCAACUGAUACUGUUUUGCUAGAGUACAGAAGGGGCAAUCGGAAUUCUUGGUGUAGCGGUGAAAUGCGUAGAUAUCAAGAGGAACACCUGAGGUGAAGACGGGGUUGCUGGGCUGAUACUGACGCUGAGGCGCGAAAGCGUGGGGAGCGAACAGG
rnacentral:rRNA from 1 species